rnacentral:tmRNA from 1 species
GGGGGUGUUAUGGAUUCGACCCUGAAUCGUAAGACAAGGCUGCACGUCGGAGGUGGUGACUUGGCUCCGUAAAAAGGUCACCAAACUAUAAGUGAAGAAGAAUAUCUUCCAAUGGCUGCAUGAUUUUGUAGCCCGUUCUUCCCCUGACACCUGCUAGGGGUGCGGAACGUCGUUAGCAGGCCAGGGCAGGCGUCCUUCGCAUGGGACUCCCGCCGACAUUCCACAUGCGAGGGUGAACGGUUAGCGUGUGGGUUCGCGCACCGGGAACGACAUCAAAAAAUCCACUAAACGUGUAGAUGCAUUCUCUGAAAGUUCCGGGAACGCGGGUUCGACUCCCGCCACCUCCACCA